GACGAACGCUGGCGGCGUGCUUAACACAUGCAAGUCGAACGAAGAGCGAUGGACGCUUGCUUCUAUCAAUCUUAGUGGCGCACGGGUGAGUAACGCGUAAUCAACCUGCCCUUCAGAGGGGGACAACAGUUGGAAACGACUGCUAAUACCGCAUACGAUCUAAUCUCGGCAUCGAGGAUAGAUGAAAGGUGGCCUCUACAUGUAAGCUAUCACUGAAGGAGGGGAUUGCGUCUGAUUAGCUAGUUGGAGGGGUAACGGCCCACCAAGGCGAUGAUCAGUAGCCGGUCUGAGAGGAUGAACGGCCACAUUGGGACUGAGACACGGCCCAGACUCCUACGGGAGGCAGCAGUGGGGAAUCUUCCGCAAUGGACGAAAGUCUGACGGAGCAACGCCGCGUGAGUGAUGACGGCCUUCGGGUUGUAAAGCUCGGUUAAUCGGGACGAAAGGCCUUCUUGCGAAUAGGGAGAAGGAUUGACGGUACCGGAAUAGAAAGCCACGGCUAACUACGUG
rnacentral:rRNA from 1 species